rnacentral:rRNA from 1 species
AACGAACGCUGGCGGCAUGCCUAACACAUGCAAGUCGAACGGGAUCCGGACUUCGGUUCGGUGAGAGUGGCGGACGGGUGAGUAACGCGUGGGAACCUGCCCAGUGGUGGGGGAUAACUGCGGGAAACUGCAGCUAAUACCGCAUGAGCCCGAGAGGGGGAAAGAUUUAUCGCCAUUGGAGGGGCCCGCGUUCGAUUAGGUAGUUGGUGAGGUAACGGCUCACCAAGCCGACGAUCGAUAGCUGGUCUGAGAGGAUGAUCAGCCACACUGGGACUGAGAUACGGCCCAGACUCCUACGGGAGGCAGCAGUGGGGAAUAUUGGACAAUGGGGGCAACCCUGAUCCAGCAAUGCCGCGUGAGUGAUGAAGGCCAUCGGGUUGUAAAGCUCUUUUGCCAGGGACGAUGAUGACGGUACCUGGAGAAUAAGCCCCGGCUAACUUCGUGCCAGCAGCCGCGGUAAU